GUGGGGAAUAUUGGACAAUGGGGGGAACCCUGAUCCAGCCAUGCCGCGUGUGUGAAGAAGGCCUUUUGGUUGUAAAGCACUUUAAGCGAGGAGGAGGCUACCGAGAUUAAUACUCUUGGAUAGUGGACGUUACUCGCAGAAUAAGCACCGGCUAACUCUGUGCCAGCAGCCGCGGUAAUACAGAGGGUGCAAGCGUUAAUCGGAUUUACUGGGCGUAAAGCGCGCGUAGGUGGCCAAUUAAGUCAAAUGUGAAAUCCCCGAGCUUAACUUGGGAAUUGCAUUCGAUGCUGGUUGGCUAGAGUAUGGGAGAGGAUGGUAGAAUGCCAGGUGUAGCGGUGAAAUGCGUAGAGAUCUGGAGGAAUACCGAUGGCGAAGGCAGCCAUCUGGCCUAAUACUGACACUGAGGUGCGAAAGCAUGGGGAGCAAACAGGAUUAGAUACCCGGGUAGUCC
rnacentral:rRNA from 1 species